rnacentral:rRNA from 1 species
AUUGAACGCUGGCGGCAGGCUUAACACAUGCAAGUCGAGCGGAGCGAGGGUGCUUGCACCUUAGCUUAGCGGCGGACGGGUGAGUAAUGCUUAGGAAUCUGCCUAUUAGUGGGGGACAACAUUCCGAAAGGAAUGCUAAUACCGCAUACGCCCUACGGGGAAAGCAGGGGAUCUUCGGACCUUGCGCUAAUAGAUGAGCCUAAGUCGGAUUAGCUAGUUGGUGGGGUAAAGGCCUACCAAGGCGACGAUCUGUAGCGGGUCUGAGAGGAUGAUCCGCCACACUGGGACUGAGACACGGCCCAGACUCCUACGGGAGGUAGCAGUGGGGAAUAUUGGACAAUGGGCGGAAGCCUGAUCCAGCCAUGCCGCGUGUGUGAAGAAGGCCUUUUGGUUGUAAAGCACUUUAAGCGAGGAGGAGGCUACUUAGAUUAAUACUCUAGGAUAGUGGACGUUACUCGCAGAAUAAGCACCGGCUAACUCUGUGCCAGCAGCCGCGGUAAGAC